AGAAACCGGGUCAGAACCGACGGGUUGGAGGUGUGGUGCCACUGAGUGGCUGCAGUCAGACGGUUGAGUGUUUGGGUCGCAGGUCAUUGCUGCUGCCAUUUUGUAUUUCAAAGAGACAUCAAAUAAUGGGGAUUCUGGUUUUUCCUUCCACUAAGCUUUCUAUUAAUAUGUUUCUAUUAAUAUGUUUUCACAGUCACCUUCUCUAGAAAUGUCCUUCUAUGGCGUAUGGAGAUAAAUUAGGACCAUACGGACUGUUAAAAAAAAUAAAAUUGAACAAAAGUUCCAAAUUACUUUUCAGGUUCAAUGUUUUUUUUUCAGCAAACCUUAUUAUAUGGAGCUAAAGUAGGGCCACAAAGUUUGUAAAAAAAAUUAAUUAAAAAAGUGAUUUUCAUGAUCAAAUAUGUUUUCUUUAAGUUCCUUUUUUUCAAACUUAAUCAUAAGGAACUAAAUGAGAGCUGAAAGGUUUGUAAAAAAGAUUGAAACUUAAAAAUUGUUUUGCUCAUUUAUCAGUUUCACUUGUAUUUGUGUAAACUUUCUUGUAUGGAAAUAAAUUAGGCCCAUAAAGUUUAUUUAGGAAAAACUUAAACAAAAGGACAUUAAAUUUAAAAUAAACUUCCAAACAUAUAUCAGAAUCAGUGGGUUUUGUCAGUUAAGUUUUGUUUUUCUGUUUCAAAUUAGUGUUAUUUUUUUAACAAACUUUUUUUUUUGUUAACCGCAUUUUAGUUCCAUAUUCAUAGUUGUUUCUAAUCUCUACGAAUGCUUCUGGUCUAUUGAAUGCUUAAACUAUCAAAACAUUUAUAACUCUUGUGUAUUUUUUAUGCUUGUUUCUGAUAAAGUUUUCAAACGUAUUUCUAUUGGUUUCUAAGGAAACGCUGCCACUCAUAAAAUGGCUUCUAUCGGCCAGUGAAGCGUCCAUUAUGCCUGAACACUUUUCAGGGUGUGGAUUAUCAAAUUCAACCACAUUAAAUCUGACUGGAUCUUAUGAUGAAUCAGGAAUAUAAGCUACGAUUAUAACAGAUUUUUAUUCUUCAUAAAGACCAAAUUUCAGGUCCAAAUCACCUGGAAAGUUGUUUUUAUUAUUGAUUCAACAGAUGCAGCCGUUUCUGUAAUAUCUGCAGCUGUUUAUCUUAACAGAAAUAUUCCUGGUUUCUACCAGCAGGGGGCAGCAGAGUGUCCUCUUAUAGUUUUGUUCAGUUAAUCGGCUGAUCUCAUUAGAAGUUUCUGUGCAGGACGACGCUCUGCUCACGGUUACGUAACGGUUUGGUCUGUUGGCCAACCCGCUCACUGAGGCAUGAUGGGAAGUCUAUAAAUAAAGACUCAUCCUCAUCAGACGGAGCUACAUAAACCUGGAAUGAUUCAGAGAAUCGCUGCUUGUUCGGGUUAUCCCUGAACGCAGCAUAAUGUGAGGCUAACGGCGCGCUGCUCCUUCACAUCCGGUUCGGUUCCGUUACAUAACAAUUGGGCUCUGAUCUGCUGACUAACCUGCCUCACUUUCUCCAGACUCCUGAAUCCUGAGCUUUACCUCACAUCUGAUUUGUAUUGAAGUGAUAAUUAGUCAAACUGCCGCAGCUGGAUGAAUCACUGGGCUGGAAACUGAAUCCUGUUUCCCAGCAGCAGCCAGAGUUGGUUAGCAUCCAGAAACAGACCAGAGCUGCUGCUGUACCUUCGAUGGACAGCUGCUCGAUGGCGCGCCGCUCGCCGCGGCUGCAGUGCGGCGGCAGGCAGAAACCACGGAUGCUCCUCCCGGUCCGAACCCGAGAGCUCAACACGUAGUUUGGGUCCAGAUCGUCUCCGCCCUGAAGACAGAAAGACACCAGAUGAGUCCAACAUCAGGAAGUACCGAUUCAGCACCACGGACAGCGAACACAACCAGAACCAGGUUGGUUCUGAACAAGGAUUCUCAUGGCCCCCCGCAGCCCCCCAUGGCGCCGCCCCUGCGACGCGUCUCCGGGUUGACUGGAGCCUCCUGAGGAGCAGGAACCAAUCGUGUGGCUCCAGGUGAGACCGACCUGGGUUGU